AUUCCAGCUCCAAUAGCGUAUAUUAAAGUUGUUGCAGUUAAAAAGCUCGUAGUUGGACUUCUGGGCCGUUUUGUUGGUCUGCCGCAAGGCUGCACUAGCGGGAUGGCCCAUCCUCUCGAAGGCUGGGGGUGCUCUUAACUGGGUGCUUUCAGAACUCGGGAUCUUUACUUUGAAAAAAUUAGAGUGUUCAAAGCAGGCUUACGCUUGAAUACAUUAGCAUGGAAUAAUGGAAUAGGACUUUGGUUCUAUUUUGUUGGUUUCUAGAACUGAAGUAAUGACUAAUAGGGAUAGUUGGGGGCAUUAGUAUUUAAUUGUCAGAGGUGAAAUUCUUGGAUCUAUGAAAGACUAACUUCUGCGAAAGCAUUUGCCAAGGAUGUUUUCAUUA
rnacentral:rRNA from 1 species